CCUACGGGAGGCAGCAGUGGGGAAUAUUGGACAAUGGGCGAAAGCCUGAUCCAGCCAUGCCGCGUGUGUGAAGAAGGCCUUCGGGUUGUAAAGCACUUUCAGUGGGGAAGAAAGCCUUGGGGCUAAUACCCUCGAGGAAGGACAUCACCCACAGAAGAAGCACCGGCUAACUCCGUGCCAGCAGCCGCGGUAAUACGGAGGGUGCGAGCGUUAAUCGGAAUUACUGGGCGUAAAGCGCGCGUAGGCGGUCUGAUAAGCCGGUUGUGAAAGCCCCGGGCUCAACCUGGGAACGGCAUCCGGAACUGUCAGGCUAGAGUGCAGGAGAGGAAGGUAGAAUUCCCGGUGUAGCGGGGAAAUGCGUAGAGAUCGGGAGGAAUACCAGUGGCGAAGGCGGCCUUCUGGACUGACACUGACGCUGAGGUGCGAAAGCGUGGGUAGCAAACAGGAUUAGAUACCCCGGUAGUC
rnacentral:rRNA from 1 species